ACGAACGCUGGCGGCGUGCCUAAUACAUGCAAGUCGAGCGGACAGAAGGGAGCUUGCUCCCGGAUGUUAGCGGCGGACGGGUGAGUAACACGUGGGUAACCUGCCUGUAAGACUGGGAUAACUCCGGGAAACCGGAGCUAAUACCGGAUAGUUCCUUGAACCGCAUGGUUCAAGGAUGAAAGACGGUUUCGGCUGUCACUUACAGAUGGACCCGCGGCGCAUUAGCUAGUUGGUGAGGUAACGGCUCACCAAGGCGACGAUGCGUAGCCGACCUGAGAGGGUGAUCGGCCACACUGGGACUGAGACACGGCCCAGACUCCUACGGGAGGCAGCAGUAGGGAAUCUUCCGCAAUGGACGAAAGUCUGACGGAGCAACGCCCCGUGAGUGAUGAAGGUUUUCGGAUCGUAAAGCUCUGUUGUUAGGGAAGAACAAGUGCAAGAGUAACUGCUUGCACCUUGACGGUACCUAACCAGAAAGCCACGGCUAACUACGUGCCAGCAGCCGCGGUAAUACGUAGGUGGCAAGCGUUGUCCGGAAUUAUUGGGCGUAAAGGGCUCGCAGGCGGUUUCUUAAGUCUGAUGUGAAAGCCCCCGGCUCAACCGGGGAGGGUCAUUGGAAACUGGGAAACUUGAGUGCAGAAGAGGAGAGUGGAAUUCCACGUGUAGCGGUGAAAUGCGUAGAGAUGUGGAGGAACACCAGUGGCGAAGGCGACUCUCUGGUCUGUAACUGACGCUGAGGAGCGAAAGCGUGGGGAGCGAACAGGAUUAGAUACCCUGGUAGUCCACGCCGUAAACGAUGAGUGCUAAGUGUUAGGGGGUUUCCGCCCCUUAGUGCUGCAGCUAACGCAUUAAGCACUCCGCCUGGGGAGUACGGUCGCAAGACUGAAACUCAAAGGAAUUGACGGGGGCCCGCACAAGCGGUGGAGCAUGUGGUUUAAUUCGAAGCAACGCGAAGAACCUUACCAGGUCUUGACAUCCUCUGACAACCCUAGAGAUAGGGCUUUCCCUUCGGGGACAGAGUGACAGGUGGUGCAUGGUUGUCGUCAGCUCGUGUCGUGAGAUGUUGGGUUAAGUCCCGCAACGAGCGCAACCCUUGAUCUUAGUUGCCAGCAUUUAGUUGGGCACUCUAAGGUGACUGCCGGUGACAAACCGGAGGAAGGUGGGGAUGACGUCAAAUCAUCAUGCCCCUUAUGACCUGGGCUACAC
rnacentral:rRNA from 1 species